GGGAUUUUUGAAGAUAAUGUU
rnacentral:snRNA from 1 species